AACGCUGGCGGCGUGCCUAAUACAUGCAAGUCGAACGAACUCUGGUAUUGAUUGGUGCUUGCAUCAUGAUUUACAUUUGAGUGAGUGGCGAACUGGUGAGUAACACGUGGGAAACCUGCCCAGAAGCGGGGGAUAACACCUGGAAACAGAUGCUAAUACCGCAUAACAACUUGGACCGCAUGGUCCGAGUUUGAAAGAUGGCUUCGGCUAUCACUUUUGGAUGGUCCCGCGGCGUAUUAGCUAGAUGGUGGGGUAACGGCUCACCAUGGCAAUGAUACGUAGCCGACCUGAGAGGGUAAUCGGCCACAUUGGGACUGAGACACGGCCCAAACUCCUACGGGAGGCAGCAGUAGGGAAUCUUCCACAAUGGACGAAAAAGUCUGAUGGAGCAACGCCGCGUGAGUGAAGAAGGGUUUCGGCUCGUAAAACUCUGUUGUUAAAGAAGAACAUAUCUGAGAGUAACUGUUCAGGUAUUGACGGUAUUUAACCAGA
rnacentral:rRNA from 2 species